ensembl:lncRNA
GCGCUGCGUUACUCUGCCUCGCCUCUCCUUCACUGAACACAACUGCCCCUCCCCCAUCGCUUCACCUGCAGGCAACGACAAGAUGGACACGGCAGCUAUCAAAGAGGAGCUGCUUUUUAACAUGACAGCAUGAUUAGCACGAUCUCAGUUGCUGUGCCCCCUGAACCCACUGCAGCUUCUCAUUGGUCACCCCACCCGACAGUUUACCACUUGGACUUUACAUGAUAUAUUAGCUAGGUCUGUAAUGUAUUCAUUUCUGAGUGUUAUUUCUCUCUAUUUGCUCUUUUCAUGGUUGAGCUUCAUGUUCAUGC